GGCCAGCUCACCACCGAGCGAGCGGAGCCGCACGUCAGGUGCGGACGUCGGGGCUGGACGGCCGCCUGACUCCCUGAAUCACCUGCCGGGGCGGCUCCGGUCCGCGUCAGGUUGAGUCACCGCUCCAGGCUCUCGGCUAAGGCCUCCCUGGGGAGCUGCUGAGGGCCCUGGAGGAUGCUGGCACCAGACCUGCCUGAGGGCCGCGCCCACCAGCCCCCAGUCUGGGCCCAGAGGGUGGUGAGAGAACCCCCAGGCGAGCAGACCUUCCCGGUCCCCUCCCCCCAGCCCCUUCCAGCCACCACCCUGCUGUUUGUCUCUGGACUUGCCCGGUGGUGACACUUCACGUGAAAAGAACCCUGCGA